rnacentral:rRNA from 1 species
UACGUAGGAGCAAGCGUUGUCCGGAAUCACUGGGCGUAAAGAGCGUGUAGGCGGCUUCACAGGUCCGCUGUGAAAACUCGAGGCUCAACCUCGAGCUGUCGGUGGAAACCGUGUGGCUAGAGUCCGGAAGAGGAGAGUGGAAUUCCCGGUGUAGCGGUGAAAUGCGCAGAUAUCGGGAAGAACACCCGUGGCGAAGGCGGCUACUCUGGGACGGUACUGACGCUGA